rnacentral:rRNA from 1 species
AUUGAACGCUGGCGGCAGGCCUAACACAUGCAAGUCGAGCGGAUGAAGGGAGCUUGCUCCUGGAUUCAGCGGCGGACGGGUGAGUAAUGCCUAGGAAUCUGCCUGGUAGUGGGGGAUAACGUCCGGAAACGGGCGCUAAUACCGCAUACGUCCUGAGGGAGAAAGUGGGGGAUCUUCGGACCUCACGCUAUCAGAUGAGCCUAGGUCGGAUUAGCUAGUUGGUGGGGUAAAGGCCACCCAAGGCGACGAUCCGUAACUGGUCUGAGAGGAUGAUCAGUCACACUGGAACUGAGACACGGUCCAGACUCCUACGGGAGGCAGCAGUGGGGAAUAUUGGACAAUGGGCGAAAGCCUGAUCCAGCCAUGCCGCGUGUGUGAAGAAGGUCUUCGGAUUGUAAAGCACUUUAAGUUGGGAGGAAGGGCAGUAAGUUAAUACCUUGCUGUUUUGACGUUACCAACAGAAUAAGCACCGGCUAACUUCGUG